rnacentral:rRNA from 1 species
GACGAACCGUCCUAACGUUAUUCGGAUUCACUGGGCUUAAAGGGCGCGUAGGCGGUUUACCAAGUCCGGGGUGAAAUCUUUCGGCUCAACCGGAAAAGUGCCUUGGAUACUGGUGAACUUGAGUACUGCAGGGGAGACUGGAAUUCCUGGUGUAGCGGUGAAAUGACGCAGAUAUCAGGAGGAACACCGGUGGCGAAGGCGGGUCUCUGGGCAGUAACUGACGCUGAGGAGCGAAAGCGUGGGUAGCAAACAGG